rnacentral:rRNA from 1 species
UUGCUCCCUUAGGUCAGCGGCGGKCGGGUGAGUAACACGUGGGUAACCUGCCUGUAAGACUGGGAUAACUCCGGGAAACCGGGGCUAAUACCGGAUGCUUGAUUGAACCGCAUGGUUCAAUCAUAAAAGGUGGCUUUUAGCUACCACUUACAGAUGGACCCGCGGCGCAUUAGCUAGUUGGUGAGGUAACGGCUCACCAAGGCGACGAUGCGUAGCCGACCUGAGAGGGUGAUCGGCCACACUGGGACUGAGACACGGCCCAGACUCUACGGGAGGCAGCAGUAGGGAAUCUUCCGCAAUGGACGAAAGUCUGACGGAGCAACGCCGCGUGAGUGAUGAAGGUUUUCGGAUCGUAAAACUCUGUUGUUAGGGAAGAACAAGUACCGUUCGAAUAGGGCGGCACCUUGACGGUACCUAACCAGAAAGCCACGGCUAACUACGUGCCAGCAGCCGCGGUAAUACGUAGGUGGCAAGCGUUGUCCGGAAUUAUUGGGCGUAAAGCGCGNGCAGGCGGUUUCUUAAGUCUGAUGUGAAAGCCCCCGGCUCAACCGGGGAGGGUCAUUGGAAACUGGGGAACUUGAGUGCAGAAGAGGAGAGUGGAAUUCCACGUGUAGCGGUGAAAUGCGUAGAGAUGUGGAGGAACACCAGUGG